rnacentral:rRNA from 12 species
UUUCUUGACGACCAUAGAGCAUUGGAACCACCUGAUCCCAUCCCGAACUCAGCAGUGAAACGAUGCAUCGCCGAUGGUAGUGUGGGGUUUCCCCAUGUGAGAGUAGGUCAUCGUCAAGAUUA